UCCCCAUUGCCCUUCUCCUGAUGAGUCCUGAUCUCAUCCAGUCCUAGCUCUCUCUCCAGUGUCACCUCCCGAUCUGCUGUGACCCUGACAUGCUGGUUGUAUAACCGGCAGGUCUCACCUCACAGUGGCCUUACCUCACAGUGGCCUUGCACAUCAUCUGCCCCUCGGACACUGCUGUCUCCAAGACUCCAUGUGAGCACUUCCUUCUCCAGGAAACCCUCCCUGACUCCUGCUCCCCUGCCCUUGGGGCCUCCAGCCAGGCCAGUGCAGGCAGCAGGAUGCCUCAGGAGGACCUGGGAAGUGGACCCUGGCCCUGCAGUCCACUCCUGCCCUGGGAAGAGUGAGAAGGGGCUGGAUCCAUCACAGUGCCUGAUCUUGGACCCUGGCUCUCAGGAGACGUCAGCAGGACGGAGGCCACCCUUGGUCCGCUGUGUGACCCUGCUGGUCACCUGGCUUCUCCGGCUCCUCUCCCACGAGAGGGCCAGCACCGCCCAGGGCCCCCUCCUCAGCCCUGCUGCACCCCGAGGCGGGACUGAGCCUCCAGAGUGCUGGGAUUACAGAUGUGCACCACCACACCCAGCAUGCGCUGUUUUAUUAACUACUGUGUGAAAAUGGUACCUCAAGGAACCAGAGCCAUGUGGGUUGAACACUUGCUAAGUUCGCCCCUGCUGGGAUUCGUGCCUCCGCGCUGCGUCUGUGGGCUGAGGUCUUCCC
rnacentral:lncRNA from 1 species